ensembl:lncRNA
CAAUGUUUCAUUCUUUUUUCAGUUGUUCCAUGCCAACGAGAGUUUAAUAGCUACAAAGUGCCUUAAUUAUAUCAAGACAGAAAUGAAUAGUCCAUGAUUUAGCAACUGCAGUACAACUAGGAGAAAUGAUGCAUUGAAGGUAGAUGGGACUUGAGCUAGUAGGUGACGACAGAAAAUUUGCACUGGAGGACCAAGAUACCAUACUUUUCCAGCCUAGAAAUGGACCAUUACAGAAGGGAAUGCAGAUGAACAUGGCUGAACUCAGUGCUGCAGUUUACAGAAGUAUCUGCUCACAGCACAGAAUGACACAUGGCUUGUCCUACAUCACAGACAACACUAAGCAGUGUAUGGGAACAGUAGACAAGGAAAAGAAUUGUAGAAUCAUUGAAUCGCCAAAGCUGAAAAAGAUCUCCAAGACCAUCCAGUCCAACUUUCCACCUACCACCAGUAUUUCCCACUAAACCAUGUCCAUCAAUACAACAUCCAAAUGUUUCUUGAACACUUCCAGGGACAGUGACCUAACCACCUCCUUGGGCAGCCCAUUUCAGUGCCUAACCACUCCUUUGGAGAAUAAAUUUUUCCUAUUAUCCAACCUGAACCUCCCUUGGCACAAAAGAACAAAUAACAAGUGGUUUGGUUUUUCUGUCACAGGUUGUUGGUGUGGUUAAUAUUCUCUGCUUCAGUACUCUGCAUUUACAACUCUUUUGCAAUGAGGUCACACUGACAAGCCACAAACACUGCUUGUUCCUUUUAAGAAAUAGUGAUUGCUAGACGCAAAUGAAUUCAGGGAUGGCUGAGAGGUGAUCUUGCAAGACUUCAAAAUAUCAAAGUGUGUCAUUCUGAUAUGCCUGAUAAAAGUGUUAUUUAAAUAUCCAUGGAAACCAACCUUCACAUUCAACUCAGGGGCUUUGGUCAUAAAUAAAAUACUGGACUGUGAAGGGAUUUCAAAGAUAUACCUUGUCUUUUUGAUCUCUGCAGUUAAUUCUUUCUCUCAACUUGGUCCUUAGAAAGGCGAUUGAAAGUGCAGCUAAGCUAAACGUUCCGUGGGAGUGCUCUGAUCUGUUUACUGCUUUGAUGUUCUCUGUAGGCUACUGCUUCCUGUGAACCAGGAUUCCAUGGCAAAAUAUAUGUGAUUCUCCAUCUCUUUUUUUAAAAGAUUUAAUAUGCAUUUCUCUCUGCUUGUAUCUAUAUUUGCACAUGACGGGUGAGAAGCAGACACAUGGUCCUUUAUUUCCAGAGAGGUGUUCAAAAAAAGACACCAAAAUCUGUCAGAUAUCUUCAAAG